rnacentral:rRNA from 1 species
UACGUAGGUGGCAAGCGUUGUCCGGAUUUAUUGGGUUUAAAGGGUGCGUAGGCGGCCCUGUAAGUCAGUGGUGAAAGCCUCCAGCUCAACUGGAGAACUGCCAUUGAUACUGCAAGGCUUGAGUACAGACGAGGUUGGCGGAAUUGAUUGUGUAGCGGUGAAAUGCAUAGAUACAAUCAAGAACUCCGAUUGCGUAGGCAGCUAACUAGGCUGUAACUGACGCUGAGGCACGAAAGCGUGGGGAGCGAACAGG